rnacentral:lncRNA from 1 species
AACUAUGACAUAUGAUAUCCGACUAAGGGCGAGCACAAGUAUUAGCAUGAAUUUUUAACAUAUUUCAAAUAUUAAAUGUUUUAUGCUUACGCUACGAAUUAUGAUAUGUUAUACACAUCUACCAUGGUAUUUUCAUGUCUUCAGUACGUAUAUCAAAUACUUGAAAAGGGAAAGCAAGUGGUUAUACGCUAAGCAAAUAUGCUUAGAAAUAUUAUUUCUGACAAUAUUUCAGGUGAUAAGGGAAAAUAAGUGGAAUAGAUUGAUAGAACCCAUAUUUUGAAGUUCAUGUUGACAAUGUAAACUUUAAGAUAUAUUACAUUAUAUCAUGUAACAAGAACAAUAGAUUUGAUAUUGGCUAGCCUAGACUAGAAUGUUCGUGACCUUUUGAAUAUAUAAUAUAUGUAUGUAUGAACGAUAUAACAAGUAUAGUCUCUCUACCGAUAAGGGAAUGUAUUUAGAAUGAAUGAAUUUAUUAUUGAUUUUCUAUUGGCUCCAAAAAUAAAUAUACACAUUUCACUUUCGCAUAUGAAAAGAAAAAAGGACAAGUAAAACCUACGUGAUGUUGCUCAGCGCUGCGUGGACGUCGGGGGUAGUGGGGUCGUCACACUAUCAACCACCAAUUAUGCGUUGUGAAAACUACAGAUGAAGGAUAUCAUAUGCUGCUAGGAUUUGUGUCACGCCCUCGAAUUCUUUAUAUAUAAAAUUAAAUCAUAAUUCUUUAAUGAAUAAUAAAAAAAUAAACUAGAGCAUGGUCCAUCUAGAAUAAUGGACCAUGUCUAAAAUAGUAGAGGUCCUUUAUGACUACAAAAAAAAAAUAUCAUAAUAACUUCUACAUCAAGGACCUCAAUGGUCAUUACCCUUACCCACAUCAAGGCAUACACUACUGCUAAAUUUAAAAUAGUUAAAGUAAUGUAAGGUUAAAUUAAUAGUUUUACAAACCAUAUCGUAAAUAAGUAAAGUUUAUAAUUUAAUUGCCCAAAAAUAGAGGAUGAUACAGAAAAUAAAGUUAAUUAACAAAAUAACUUUUCUGAAAUUCAUCCAAACAUACUACAAAUGGAUGUCAUCCAUGUCAAUCGCAAGCCACAAAAAUAACAACAAGUCUUCUACCCUUUACCUGCAUUUGUACAUACCUUUAUAACGAUCGGGAUGAAUUAAUAUAACCAGUAGUCAAAUUUCAACUCCAACAACCUCAUAGUCAAAUUUUUAAAUUUCAUUAAAUUGGGGCUUUACCCUCAUCACCCACAUAGUCAUAUUCAAUCAACCACUGCUCAUUUAACAUCUCACCUACAUACAUGCUCAUUUAACACCUAAUUAACAAGAAAUUGAUUCUCCUCAAAAUAUUACUCCAUAAACACUAAAACAACAUACCUUAAAGUUUAAUUUAAUAUGAGUACAAGAUAUUAAAACUAGGUUAUCUAACAAUAAACAUUUAAAUGGUCAAGAAAUCCCUACCAAAUAGUAAGUGAAUCAACCCUAGGAUUUCCAAUGUGGCUCCAAUAAGUGGUUCUUUGAUUUUUGAGAAGAUCUUAAUAGAAUCCACACUUAUAUCUCCCAAAAGGACCAAAAAUUAUGAGUAUAGCAAAAGAAAAGAAAAUGGACGAAGCUCUCUCUGUGCUUCGCGCACAGAGAACCAGAGGAAAGGAACGAAGAAAAGAAAUGGGAAAGUGAAGUCUCAGGAUAUUGACAUAUAUAGUGUUAAUAUCACAUGUGACCCCUGAAGUUAUAGUUAACAUUCCAAUUAAUUUAUAAACUUUAAUACUUUUAAUUUAACCCACAACCAACCUAAAAUAAAAAUACUAUACUUUAUAUAAAUGAUAAAAAUUACCUGCAUCAUCACAAUUUGUACCACCUGUUGGAGAAUAAUGGAAUAAUGGAGCCAAUUCUGUAGUGACAAAGGAUGAGGAAUUGAAGAAGAUGAACCAAAAAAUAACUUGAUAGUUUAGAUAGUGGAUUGGACACCAAGUGAUCCAUCAUAUAGCAUAAGAGAAGAGUGCUUGUGAGCUGUGAAUCAAGUAGAAGACUAUGUACUAGGCUAGGACGUCACAUAACAAAACGCUCUUGAUGAGGAGGCUAGUGAAUCUAAAGUUAUAGGGUGGUACUUCAGUGGAAAAACAUAUGAGUGAAUUUCGAAACUUGGUUAACCAGCUGGCUAGAGUUGACCUACAGUAUAAUGAUAAGAAAUUGGCCCUAUUGCUUUUGAGUUCCUUGCCAAAUAGUUGUGAGACGUUAGUGGUUUCUCCUGACAAUUCAACACCGAAUGGAAAGUUGACCAUGAAUAUGAUCAAUGAUGUGAUAUUCAAUAAAGAGGCACAAAGGAGAAAGAUUGGUACAACAGAUAGUAAUGAGUCGCAAGUCCUAGUCUAAGAGGAAAGUAGGAAAAUAGGUCAACGUCAAGGAAUAGGUCAUGAAAGGGGUACCACCAGAGGACGACUAAGGUCACAAUCAAGAUGUUGCACUUUUAUGUGCUUUACUGCGACCAAGAGGGGAAUAUCAAAAGGAAUUGCCCAAAGUAUAAAAAAAAUAUGGAGAAUGAUUAGUUUUCAAAGGCAACCAUAGUGACAGAUUCAAACAGUGAUGUUCUCCUAGCAGUAUAGGUAGAGGAAAAAUCAAAUUGAAUAUUAGAUUCAAGCAGUGGUUACCACAUAUACGGAGAUAUGGAGAUGUUCUCAACAUAUGCAGCAUGUGAUGAAAGACUUGUAUGGAUAGCGAAUAACACAACUAGCAGAGUUGUUGGCAAAUAAGCAGUCCAGUUUUGCAUGGCAGAUGGGUGGUCUCUGACAUUGACCAAGGUAAGGUAUGUUCCUGGUUUGAGAAUAGUUUUUUAUUUCAUUGGUAUGCUAGAUUCGAAGGGUUGCAGCUUGACAGAUAGUGAAGGAAUUUUGAGAGUUUUCAAAGGAAACAAAGACGUGCUGCAGGGAAGUAAGAUUGGGAAGUUAUACUAACUGGAGGGUAUUGUUCAAACAAAGGGAACUAUUGUUAGACAUAGGUUCAGUGGUACUAGCAAGCAGAAUUGACAGGGAAAGCAAUAGUUGAACAAAGAUACGCGGAGCAAGUGCGGGGGUACCUAGAGGAUCUGUAGUGGUACAAGAGUGUAGGGAGAUGCAUUGAAAUAUGUGCAGAAGUCUGGAUAGACAGGAGUAGUGCAACCAGUACAGGAUGUCCAGUUAGAAGCCCAGAGGAAGGAGACAAAGUCAAUUUAGAGGAGUUGUACAAUGACGGGUGUGACGAUGCUGAAAUGAGUCUCUUUCACUCUUGACUUGAUUAUGGUGGUGAUCUCUCCAAAUGUGCGCAUAAGGGACGAGAGAUGCAACCAAUAUAGCUUGCAAAGUGAUGUACUUUGCGACGUACCUCGGUAAAGAGAUGUAGGCACUUCGAUGUGGAGGUGCGUGCACUUCAGUGGGAAGUGGAGUAGCCCGUUGAUGAGGGCAAGAUCUCUUGGAUGCUGUUUUGCAGAUAUUAUGUGGGAGCUGUUAGGAUGGAUAACUUGAAUACAUCAGAUUACCUUCCAGUAGGCUGGAGAAGGAGAUUAUUAAGUCCAACCCACAUAUUUGGGCAAAAGCCCAAUUUGUUUUGUUAACCUAAUUUUUCUUUAUAAAUAGAGAAUAGUAGAGAGAAUUAAGGUCGUACGAGUCACUGAAAAGAGAGGCAAGGUAGAGAGAGAUUGUGAGAGAGAUAAUUUAGAGAAUUGAGUUGAGAGAGUGUGUCUCCUCCUUUUGUUAGUUCCUUCGUCGAUUAGUGACUUAAUUUCUUUUCGUGGACGUGGACACCAUUGUCCGAACCUCCUAAAAUUUUAUUGUCUUGUAUGUGUGAUUAAUCUAAACAAUGAAAGGUAAUGUAAGAGUUGUUUACCUAACAAUAUUCACCCCAAAACCCACCCACAAAAAACACCCCCAUUAGUCAAAGCUAACUAAUUCCAAAUAACAAUUAUUUAUAUGGAUUCUUAGAGGCCGGUCCUGUGUCCCGUACUUAUUUCUGGGCAGCUUCCAUUCAAUUAGUCUUCAAUUGACUAAGUUCCUUGCAUUCAUUUAUCCCAAAAAUACCCAUACUAAACCCACGCUAGUGAUUCUUACAAGAGCACUUAAGUUAUUCAAUGUCGGCCCCAAACGUAUUCCAAACUUAACGACCCUUAUUUGGAAUCUCAACCAUAUUAAUGUCUUCCCAAAGCCAUCAUAUAUUUGGAUCCUAAAUGAGGCCUGAAAAAUUCAGACACUACAGUGUUGGGCCCACAACACCAAACCAAAAUCAACGAGUGUUUCAAGGGGUGGGCACAUUCCCGCCCAACCCAGACUGUUUUUUUAAGAGUUUGGGAUUACUAUUUUAAUCCAUUAGGAUGGGUCGGAUUUAUAUUUCAUGCCCAUUUAUAAUUGGAUUGGACUUCAGAAUUUAAUUUGUAGCCUAAUUAGCUGGCCCAUUCCAACCCAACCCAACCCAAUCCAAAUAACUAAUAUAUUAAUUAUUUUAUAGUAUUAUUUAUGUAGAAAAUGUGAAGAAUGUAAAAAAAAUAGCAUUAUAGAAUAGUAUUCAUUUGAACUAUUCGCAGACUUGAAAAUAUUUUUAUUAGGUAGUAUAGAAUACUAUUAGUAUACUCCAGUUUAAAGAGAAAAUUAUAAUAAAUAAAAAUAAAUUCUUAAUUGUAAUUAAAAUUUAGAAAUCCAGAUAAAUAAGUUUAGUGUCCAGUCUUGGGAAUUUAGAAUAUUUUAGGACUAGACUUGGGAAUUAAAUAUUAAGCCCACAUCAGUUUGAGCCAAACUUGGGUACACAUAACUCUCUUAAUAUGUAGACAAGUGUCCGGCCCCACCUAAUGAAUGCCCACCCCAGUUUAUUCUAUUUGUCCUCAGGCAUUUUUUGUAAAUUACAACUCUUUUUAAACUUUGAGUUCUUUUAUAAAUAAAAAAUCACUCGUACAAAGUAAUCUAAACCAAUUUAUACCAUUAUAAAUUGCCUAUGUAUUUUUUUUUUCUAAAAACUAUAGUAGCCCCAACGAAUUACCAUUAUGAUAU